rnacentral:misc_RNA from 1 species
AAAAGCUCCUCUUCAUCCUCGAUCAGAAGAAUGGUCCGGCCUUGCAUCAAGCCGAUGCUACGCAAGGUGCGGAGAUUUGGCAUCGAAAAACCGGAUGCGUUUCAAUCGAUCGUAUACAUCUCGAUCGUGUCGCUGAAGAAUCCGGGGAUCACGAUUUCCGGCUUCCCGUCGCCGUCCCAGUCGCCAUAGCUCGGCCGUUCGUCGAUGUCCCGGGCGCCGAGUGAU